rnacentral:lncRNA from 1 species
GUGGAAUGGAGGUGGCGCUUUAUUCCUAAAGCCUUUACCACCCUGUGAGUUAUUUGAGAGAUAAAAGAAGGUCCAUUUUAACUCUGGAAGAUUUGGGUAGUCCGAACUAGCAGCCUUAGCAGGGAUCCAAAGUGAAGAUGCUGCAGAGGAGAUGAUGAACAGACCCAAGAAGCUGCAAACAUCUCUGACACCCCUGAAGCUGCACAAGAGGAUGAAAUUUGGAAGGUUUUGUUAGAUGUCACGUCCCUGCCCAGCCCAUGUUACUGGCCCAGCCCUGACUGGCCCCACCUACUGCAAAGCCUCUACAAAGCAAGACCUGUUUCAAG